rnacentral:misc_RNA from 1 species
CAAAACUCAUAUUUCAAUGUGAAUUCUUCUCUAGUUUGAAUAAGUUGUAGAGAAAAUGGUCACAAACAUUUUCUUGUUCAGGCAUAAAUAUCUGAAGACUAAAGUUCGUUCAGACAUGAAUAUUUGAAACUUGAAGUUUAUAAGUAAAUUAUUUACAGGUGGUCAAUAUAGGUUCUAAUAUUACAUGGAGAAAAUAAAACAGUCUAACUUCAUCCUAAUAGCUAAUUUAAGGAGAGGGAAUUUACCAAAAUCUUAUGUUUGGACAACACAAACAUUGGUGGAUACACAAUGGAAUGAGAG